CCCCCAGGAUAGGGUUCCGGUGCCACCUUCCUAAUGGGCUCAACCUUUAGUGUCCUAUAAUCCUUCCAAAGGACUUGACUGUUAGAUUUUCUAACUGAAAUCUCAAACAGUUCUUGCUGUACAUGACCUCUCUGUGAUAGCGUUACAAUUUGUUUACUGGGUGCUCUUAGUUGAGAAGAAACCUCUGGAUACAUUGGCAGAGCCAGCUGAGGAAAGUUGUGAACCAAAAGGCUUUCUGUGACCUCACUUGACCCACCUGCCUGGGCAGCUCUUGAUCUCAGGCUGCAGGUGCCCCAAAGCAACUUCCACUUCAAGGCUAUACUGGCUUCUGUUCUUGGAAGUGUGAAGGCAAUGCUAACGUCUCAGACACUGGAAAUAUGUCAUUUACCAUGACAUUUCCCUGAAUGUUUAGCACUCAAAAACACCCCUCCCCCACAGCUUAGGCAUACUCAGUUCUCUUGAGUUUCUGUUGCUCUUGGGAAAAUUGGGCCCCUUCCUUGUUAUGUCUUUAACAAAGCCCAGAUGUCUAAUACCCGGAUGCUAGAGACUUCCAAGGGCUGUUUUUGAGUUUCAAUUCUUAUCCUGGUCACUUUUCCUCUUAGACAGGGUGUACUUCCUUCUUUUCGCAUUCAUUUACCAUUGGACACUUAGGUGCCAGGCCUUAUCUAGGUGCUGGAAAUACAAACGGGUCAUGAAAAUAGCAGUGGACUCUCUAUCCUUGGAGAGAUCUCUUUGUGACAGCCAGGCAGGGUAAAAGGGCACAAACGUGAAGCAGGUCCUGACUGGAAUGCGUACGUGUGAUAACGGUGCCAGCUUCUGGUGCAGAAAAGGAGCUAAGAAGCCGUGGAAACUUCCAGACUGAAUUCAGAGUUUUCCUUUUGAUCCUAGAAGACUUGGGUGCUGUUGAAUGAUUAGCCUCUGUGGUGGGGCGGGUCCGGACCCACCUGAAAGUGCCCUUCUCAGGAAGCCACAGUGGAAGGAUUCUUGUGUUUUGUGGAAGGAAGACAUCAAGUUACAAAGUAUCUAGUACUUCCCAGGCAGUCAAGGGGAAGCAAGCUGCCCUUCAACACAUUGAAGAUGUCCUCAGGUGAAUAGCCAGCUCAUUGGCAUUCAAGCCCCACCUCUCACAGGAACUAGAAUGCAAACACAACUAGUCAGGCCUUUGCCAUGUUGUCAUACUGAUGGCUUCUUACCCUUCAUUCAACAGCGAGGUGCUCAUAUCCUCCUGAAAGACCAUCAGAAUGGGUUUUGCCAGCCAUUCACCAUCAGAACGGGCUUUGUCAUCCAUUCCCACCAGCAUUCUGGUCAGGGCUAUGGGCCCAUUUUCAAAGAAGAUCAGAGCUUUCUCUAUAGUUCUCCUCAUCUAUGACUGAGCCCUCACCAGAAUUCCCCUGAAAUGGUCCUGAUGCAAGGCUCUGUCCAUCUCACACACUGCUCCGAGCCUUUCUUGCCUCUCUCAUCUCAUCCCGAAGCCGGGUCUGCGGUUUUUAGAUCUUUGUUCCCACAGCAUCCCAUUUCUUGCAAUCAGUUUGUUUUAUUCUGCUUAGACUGCUGUCAGAAGAAUAACGGAGUUGUUUAAACAACAGACAUUUAUUUAUUUUUAUGUGCCAGAGGCUGGAAAACACAAGGUCAAGGGGCCAGCAGUUUUGGAACCUUGGUGUCUGGUUCCCUGGCUUUUAUUAGCUUGCCACCAUCCUGUAUUCAUGGCAGAGUGAGUCCAUCUCUCUCAUGGCUGCUUUGAUAGGGCUACUAAUCCCUUUGAUGAGGGCAGCAUCUUCGCUCUCAGAUCACCUCCCUAAAGUCCCAUCUUCUGGGCUGUCACGUUGGGAAUUUGGGGUCUAACAUAAGACAUUCUGAAAGCGAUGCAAAUGUUUACUUUGUAGUAUGAAAGCUCAAAAGUUUGAUGAUUGGCUUUGCAGUUAUCAUGGUUUUGUGUAUUUGGAGUCUAUCAGUGUAGUCAAAGCAAGCUCAGAUGAUGCUCAACCCCUGUGUCUUUAGUUCUCAGGAUUUGCACAGAUGACUCUGUUUAUCGAAACUGUGUGUGUGUCUGUCUGCCUGUCUGUCUUCUCUUAACCCCUGGCCCAGAAAUAUGCUUAAGCGCUGAAUUUGUCAAUGCACAUGGGUGGUUGUUUCUAUGGCUGGAGUUAGAUCAGAUAGCUCUGGAUGACUCCCUGGAAGGUGUUUAGAUAUCACUGUGAGAUGGUCCCCCAAACCUACAUUUGUGUUGGUCUAUGUGUUUUGCAAGCUACAGUCUUCACCACAAGCUGCAUUUAAAGUUUGCGUGUGCGUUUCCCUCCCUUGAUAUUUUAUGACUAGGGACUCUAUUCCUGGGCUACGGUCUCUGUCCGCCCAACUCCCAGGGGCUCUUGUUUCUGGGGAUCUUGGUCUUCAAAUGUAAUGUGGCUUGGGGGAUGAUUGAUGUAGCCACUUUAGGGCAGCUGCCCAAUAGCUAAGGUGGUGUUUGGAUGGGUCAGGAUUUCCUCAUGAGGUGGCACUAAAGAGUGAGGGCUACAAUCUAUUUCUAUUAUUUUUAAAAGGAGACAAAUUUUACGUUAUGUGACUCGAAUAAAAAAAUGUCCCAGCUAUGGGUUUUCUAACUGAGUUAGCGCUAUGCACUGGAAGAAAUUCCUAAUUGGUGUUGGGUUUACCAUGGUUGCUCUUGGUUUGUGUGUGUGUCUCUCUUUUAAUUUGGAAUGCAGUAGAAAGCACUGUUGGCUUUACCAUUUUCAAUACAGAUAUGAUUUGAGAUCCUAAGAAAAUGUUGACCCAGGUUUCUGCCAGGAGAAGAUAGAAGUGGGGUGGAGACAGGAGGGACACAGAAAAGCUACGCAGGGGUGAAGACGCUUCCAGGGGUAGUGGUUCCAAGCCUGUUCCCAGGGGGUGUUGCAUGACUCCCUGGAUCUUGGUGAUCCUGAGGAACCUACACACUUGUACCUUGAGGCUGCCACGAUCUCUGUUCCCAUAGUUUCUAUUGUUUGCAAAAAACAUGUUUAGGACCGGUGUUGAGGUAGGGUGUCUCCUCGAAAGUUAAAUGUCUCAUGAUUUGGGAUAAGCCAACUGGCAGAACUUGCCUCAGCCUCUAGGGGGACCCUUGAGUCACCAGGCACAUGUGCCUCACAGAAGUGACUUGAGUCUCAUGACCACAGGACACUAAGAAAACCUGGGCUAUUUAAAAAAUGUGUUUGCUUUAGAAGAAAAACAUGUUUGCAAAUGUGUGCCUGGAAAAUAUUCCCAGGGUGAGAAGAGAAGACAUGAGCAGUCAAGGAGGCAAGUUUGUGCUAGGACACUGUAGGGCUUCAUUCCCAGGCUCCCAUCUUUGCCCCACCCCCUACUCCCAGCUAUUGUCUGUCUGUAUGUCCAUCUUAGGAGAAGCAACCUUGUUUAUUACUCAUUAAUGUGUGCUCAGCACUUCUCAUCCUUUGGGUGAGAGGAGAGACAGCAACUCUGAGUUGACAUUAACUUUAAAACCCCAGUGCAAGCCCAUCUGGAGCUGUCUGGAAAAGGGAGGGGUCCCCCAUAAGCAUAGCUGGGCAAGACUUUCUCUGCUCUGUUAACGCUCUUCACAGCCUCAAGAAGCAGAAACAACAGGAAGUAGAAGGAAGCGUCCCGAAUGUCGAGCCACAAUGUUCUACACGAAGGGAGACAGAUGAGCAUCCCCAACUCCGAACUUCUGACUCCAGAAGAUGCUGAAGGGGGCUCGAGAAUUCACAGCCUGGGCCCUCUCUUUCAGUUCCAUGCCAGUGUGUAUUGUGUCUCACUGGCAUGCUAAAGAUGAUGAAGCAAAGAAAUUUAGGGUAUUUCGGAGUGGAAUGAUGAGCCAGAGGCUGGGGAGAAAUCAUGUUCCGUGUCCUGUUGUCACAGAUUAGCCUAAGUUCUGGUUACCCCAAGACACCUAUAUUUCAUAAAUGGUCAACCUGACUCUAAAUAUAAGAAAGGUACCUUAUGGCAAGUGUUUAACUUCCUUUAUUGUUCUGAGGCUAGCUUCAGAACUCUGGACUUUCAAAACACAUUCUACUUACCAUUAUGAAAUGGAUGAGGGAUGGCUGGUACUUGUGGAGUCCAUCUCUAAAGCUGAUUUCCCUGCCCCCGGGCCUGGAGGUGUAGGGAUACGCUUGCCAUCUUUCUGGUCGCCCCAGAAGUCUAUGCAGCUGGAC